rnacentral:rRNA from 1 species
CACGUAGGCGGCUUCUUAAGUCAGGGGUGAAAUCCUGGAGCUCAACUCCAGAACUGCCUUUGAUACUGAGAAGCUUGAGUCCGGGAGAGGUGAGUGGAACUGCGAGUGUAGAGGUGAAAUUCGUAGAUAUUCGCAAGAACACCAGUGGCGAAGGCGGCUCACUGGCCCGGUACUGACGCUGAGGUGCGAAAGCGUGGGGAGCAACA